rnacentral:rRNA from 1 species
AACGAACGCUGGCGGCAUGCCUAACACAUGCAAGUCGAACGAGACCUUCGGGUCUAGUGGCGCACGGGUGCGUAACGCGUGGGAACCUGCACUUAGGUUCGGAAUAACUCCCCGAAAGGGGUGCUAAUACCGGAUAAUGUCUUCGGACCAAAGAUUUAUCGCCUUUGGAUGGGCCCGCGUUGGAUUAGCUAGUUGGUAGAGUAAAAGCCUACCAAGGCGACGAUCCAUAGCUGGUCUGAGAGGAUGAUCAGCCACACUGGGACUGAGACACGGCCCAGACUUCUACGGGAGGCAGCAGUGGGGAAUAUUGGACAAUGGGCGAAAGACUGAUCCAGCGAUGCCGCGUGAGUGAUGAAGGCCUUAGGGUUGUAAAGCUCUUUUACCCGGGAUGAUAAUGACAGUACCGGGAGAAUAAGCUCCGGCUAACACCG